AGGCACCUCCUCCAACAGCGUCGCAGUCUACUCAGGUUGCCUCUGCACCUCCUUCAGUGGUGCAACUGGUGGCCUUCUCGGUGGCACCAUCGGUGCCUCCCGCAGUGGUGUCCCCACUGAAUCUGAUUCCACACUCGGCUCGUCAGCCGCCAUCACAGCCAGAGCUGCGUAUGCCUUCUCAAAGCUUGGAGAGAAGACACACUCAUCUAAGCCGUUCUAGGGCCUAGUAGCUGGCCAGAUAGAUAUCUCCUGGUUUGAGAUCAAGGUAUGAUUCAACC
rnacentral:lncRNA from 1 species